AAGAGCACACUGUUGCAGCUGCCCUCCUUGGAUGGAACUAUGGAAUGAUUUUUAUUCUUCUACUUCCCAGGUGAAUGGGAAACCAAGGACACAGUCAGCAUUUAACAAAAAGGAAUCUGCAUCUCAGUCAGAACUGUAUUGCAUUUGCUUCUCUCUGGAUUACCUUGAAGUUACUCCCCUUCCCUCAAUAAUAAUGGCAUUAUGAAAAAAAUUGGAAUUGAUCAAAUGAAGUAAAGAGUAAACAGAGGAAAGACUACCCAAAGUCUGUUUUGCUUCAGUUCGGGGCUGAUGAUCUGGGGAGGAGGAGGUUGGGACAUAUUUGUGCUGCAAGGAACAAUAUUGUUUCAUGCAGGGGAGGUGCAUGACUAACAAAAGGGUUAACUGGAUCCUAUAAGCUAUAGACAGCUUCUAGGCAGUGCCAACCUGUGCUGCAUACCUGAACAUUGUUGCUUCCCCCACGGAAGGUAAUAAGCUGUGGAGCUGCACAGGCAUUUUGUAUUACUCGUUUCACUCAUUGGCCUUGGUGCCUGCCAGAAAUUGAGGUCGGGGGAAAGGCAGAAGUUCACACUCCUGGACCCAGUUUGGCCAGUCCAGGCAGCCUGCUCUUCACAUCACUCCAGAGUUGGACCUGCCCAGAGUGGAACUAGAAUAGGGUGUGGGUAGCACCUGCUUCCCCUCCCAUAGAUUAGUGCCCUAGACGGGUAGCUCUGGCAGAGGGGCUGCCAAUAACCCAGAAUCCAGCACAACGAAAGGCACUUCUGGCCCAGCUCUGACUAACCCCACUGUUCUUCCUUUCCCCAGCUUCUUUCAAGCUGGAAUCAAUCUGUUGUUCUUCGGACCUGAGGUCAACAUGACUUUGAUGAACGGAAUUCAUGUCUUCUUGCUAAAGUUAUCUGGACACUUGGUACAACACAGAGUGUCUGAUAUCUGGGCCUGGGGAGACCUCAGAGGCCCUGGGGAGCCCAGAGACUUGUGGAGUGUCAGGGCAGCUCUCCUGCUGUGAAUGCAAGCUCCCUGGGAAAGUUCUCCCUAGAAAAAGAUGUGGGGGAGGAGCUCAGGUGAAGGACAGAGCCUCCUGCCCGUGGAGAGAAAGUGGGCCCUGGAGAAGCUGCAUGAGUCCUCUCCAGCAGAAGGGCCAGAGGUGCACAUUAGUGGGGCUCGGGUGGGUCUCAUGGUGACAUUGGCUGGAGAUGCCAAAUCCACAGGCGUUAGGCCUGGGCAGGUUCUAGUGUGCGAGUGGGCUAGUUUUUCUAGACUAGCACACAGGAAGAGGGUGGCCUGGCUUGCCUUCCCUCUGAAGCUCAGGACUGAGGCCCAGGACAUGUCUCACACCAUUGAUAUGAGUUGGGGACAGAUGGGUGGCAGAUGUGCCCAAUCAGGCUGCAUUGACACCUGACUGGCUGGAAGAAGAGCCUGUAAAGCAAAGAGCCCAGUCUUCCUGUAAGAAGGAAGAAGAUGGAGGGCUCAUCAUGCACGUGGGCCAGAAAAAGUGCCAGUGAGGUUGUUCUGACUCCAUAGGUGUUCUGGACAUAAUCUAGGCUGUCACAAAACAGCCAAGCCUGCUGCCAGUUUCCAAUCUGGGAUCUCAGGGAGGCCCAGGGGCUUGCUGAGUUCCACCUUCCCUCUUUCCCUUGGUUUGGAGACAACUUUCUCCCUGUGGUGAAUGUGACACUUAGAACAAGGUGCAGCCCUACUAAAAGCUGGAGCUUAGGUCACUGGGACUGUGUGCUAGGGGAAAGAGGGGGAGGGAAGAGCAGGGCUGUGGCAUUAGACAGACUUUGGCUGAAAUCUUGGACCUGCCUCCUACUAGCUGUGAGAUCUUAGCAAAUUACUUCCUGCUAUAGGCUAAAUGUCUGUGUCCCCCUAAAAUGCACAUGUUAAAUCCUGAUGCCCAAGGUGAUGGUAUUUGGAAGCGGGGCCUUUGGGAGGUGAUGAGGGUGGAAUCCUCAUGAAUGGGAUUAGUACCCUUAUGUAACAAGGCCCCAGAGAGCUCCCUCACACCUUCCACCAUGUAAGAUUACAGGGGAAAGACAGGCCCUUCAGCAGACACUGAAUCCACUGGCACCUUGAUCUUGGACUUCCUAGCCUCCAGACUGUGAGUAAUAAAUGUCUAUUGUUUAUAAGCC
rnacentral:lncRNA from 1 species